GCCAUAUAAAAGAGUGGCUGCUUUUGCUGCCCGCGGAUGUUCUCACGAUGGCAGGAGGGGGGAAGAGCCUGGCACCGUUCAGAUGCGAGAUCUCCAGCUCCUGUCAGCCUCCUCCUUGCCUGGUCUUCUGUCGCCUUCUUUCUUCCUGCCCCACCCCCUCUCUUUGCCCCCUUCCCGACAUUCGGAAGCUCCCGGAGGCGGUGGGCACAAGGCGGGCAUCUCGGAGGGGUCAGACUGGCACCGGCCCGCGCGGUAGGGGGGAGGCCCGCGCUGAGAGCCAAACAUGCCGUCAGCGGGAACGCGAUGCUCCCGCCGUUCCCAGAGGGAAUGCAGAUGGCCAUUUUCGGCAUGGGGUGCUUUUGGGGAGCCGAGAGGAUGUUCUGGAAGUUGCCGGGCGUCUUCUCCACCCAGGUGGGCUAUGCAGGAGGCUUCACCCCAAACCCCACCUACAAAGAAAUCUGUACAGGUCUGACCGGACACGCGGAAGUGGUCAGGGUUGUGUACGACCCACAGAAGACCAGCUAUGAGGCCCUUCUCAAAGCCUUCUGGGAGAACGAUGACCCCACCCAAGGCAUGCGGCAAGAGGAGGAUGUCGGCACACAGUAUCGCUCAGUCAUCCACACGUUCGGAGCCCAGCAGAGGGAUGCUGCCCUGAAGUCGAAGGCAAUAUAUCAACAGGAGCUGGCUAAACGGCAGCUGGGGCCCAUCACCACUGAAAUCCAGGCGGCCGGGGAGUUCUAUCACGCAGAGGAUUACCACCAGCAGUACCUGCACAAGACCCCCAAGGGAUACUGCGGCCAAAAGGGGACCGGCGUGGCCUGUCCCAUCUGCCCCGCAGCUGAACAAGAGUCAUGAAGGGAGUAUGUCUGGCAGCCAUGGCGAUCAACACCCGCUAGCAGUUGCCAUGGGAACGGAAGCAGCCUCACACCUCAUUUUACGUGACCAUUGGGAGUGCAGGUGGCUUUUCUUUUCCCGGCCACCUCUGGACCCAGCUGGACAGCCUGAUUCACAGACGUGACGGGUUCUGCACUGGGCCAACUGCCCCUUGAUUCCCUUCCUGCCCUGCGUUAAUGGGCGGUUGCCAUAGCGCUGGGGAUGUCCAAGGGUUUGCUCUGGGUCUGAUCCCCGGCAAGGCACCAGGGUUCAGAGAUCACCCCUCGGUCCUGGUCACUUUGCCGUUGCCUCCAGGCUGGGGGGGGGCUUAGCCCUGGUCUCGUUGGCCCUGAUUGAAGAGGAAGCCUCCCGGAGCUGAUCCCGCACAAUCACCAGCUACUGCUGGCUCCUCGUCCUGAUCUGCUCGCACCUAUGCCCCCCUUCCCUCCAGAGCAUCCUCUGGGGUCGCCUCGAUUCACUGGGAGGCUGGAGCAUAGGAGAGGGGGUAACUUGCUUGCUAACCGCCUGGAGAAUUUCCUCACUCCGUUGCCACGGCCACCGCAGCAUCUGUCAGACAUGGGCCAGCGGGACUGGCCAGGGGAUGGGGCAACCUCUGUUCCACAACGCAAGGCAAGGCCAAGCGUUUUCAGCCUCCUUUGCUGCUGGAUUUGGGAGGGUCUGGACAGAGGUGCCCAGCAAACGCGCUGCUCUCUCCACCUGGCUUUGGUAGACAACCCUGGGAAGGCUGCAGCCCUCCCCUGCUGCCAGCUGGAGCCUUACCCCUCACGUCUGGGGAGGAGACACCUCUCAUAGGCUGCUGUUUGCUUGGCUGCAGAGGGCACCCUGUCCUUUACUCUCUGCUCUCCCACUGCCUGGUGAGGGCAGGGGCCCUGAGGAGUCACUUGCUCCAAGCCCCCGCUGGCCAAAGGGGAGUGAUGCUAGCCCAGGGCUGUUCCCGCACUCCCUGCCGGGGCUGCACUAACUCAUAUGGUCCUGGGGGGUCCCACCCCUGCUUUGGGAUUCCCAGCCAAUGGCAGCACCCCACAGGCACUUAUUUCACCGACGGUUCCCCAGGAGCCUGCCGUUCCCCCACCCGUGUACAUGUCUAUUGCUUCCUCAGGGCCUGCUGGUGCCCUCUGAAGAGUUUACUCCUGCCCCUCACUGCAGUGAUCUCCAGCACGGCCUUGCCCUCUCGCUGAGCAGGAGAUCAUCUUCUUCCCUAUUUCUACCUGGCCCUGUGUCCUCCCUGGUCUUUCUAACCCAGCCAGUCCCUCUGACAGGCUCCCCUGAGCUCCCAUCACAUGCUGCCCUGCCCACUGCAUGUGCCCAAACCCACCACCCGAAAGGCAGAUAACUAGGCACAGGUAAAAGGGGUAGUGCAUAGCAACCUCCAGAAGCCAAAGGCACUGGCUUGCUCACAGCUCCUGUACCUGGUGUUGCAGUUACAAGCCGUUGCCCGUUCAGCACAUGAGUGUAAAGUGCCCAUGGCUUUCGUGCUUGGGUAGAGAAAUGGGGAGUUAACUGGGCUUCAGAUGUAACAAAUCCUUGAUAGCUCUUGAUAUCUGCACCCCUUAGCCCCUAGCAAUUUCCCAGUAGGGUUCCUCCUGCCCUGAGAGCACAGACUCCUGCCACUAGAGUCAGAGGUAAUCCCCAUUA